rnacentral:lncRNA from 1 species
CCUCAUCGUCGCUCGGCGGAGCUCACCUGUUUGACCCCCAAUCAGGUCAUUGGAUUCAUCUAGACACUUCUUCCUGUUUUGGUAAGUUUCCCCCUCCUUAGUAGCUUCCAAAACAGGAAACGAAGAUUGCCGGAUUCCGAUCAAUCUCUUUUUUUCCGGGCUGUUUUGCCGUAUUGGUCUUUAUUAUAAAUCUUCAACAACUCUCAAAAUAGGUUGGCCGGAUUAUAUCCAAAACAUAUAAAAUAGGUCUAUACGCAUUUUUCGUAAAUAUAAAAAAUAUUUACGAAAAUGUUACUAGCACUUUGGGAGCUAUAAAGGGCUUCCUGGAAAUAGGAAGUGUUUUUCUCUUUUUUGAAUGAUGUCAGUAUAUGGCCGAAUAGUUUUAAUUGAAAAUAUUGAGCCGGUGCAAGCACAGCUUAGGCAAAUCAAUUAAAUUAAAAUAUAAGUUCAUGUAGGUAUGCCACCUCAGAGACAUUCUGAAAUUAAGGUGGGGCAGCUAAGAUAAUGCCGGCAACCACUAAGAAUCUCUUAUCGGUUAAUAAUGUGUAUGUACGAUUUGAUGCACAAAAGGUGAAGGUUCGUCAUUCCGUUACUAAGGAAGGUCGUGGAGGGAUUAUACUAGUUGUCGAUCCAGGGGUUCACCAGGCGUUGUUGGGGGAAUAAGUAACGAACCAAUUAUGACAGUAUAUCGCCUCGAGUAUCUUAAUUAAUGCUAAGGCAGUGUCGGAUUUAGUGAAACAAGGGACGAUUAUUUCUUCCUGUAAAUUUUUUGAUCACUUAUGAAUCUUAUAUUGUUGGUAAAACCUCAUAUUUCUAGAAAAUCGGUUUAUAAACCUCUUGCCCUAAUAUUUGCAGAUAUUUGGGGCCCUUCCCAUGUUAUCUCAUCAGAAGGAUAUCACUACUAUGUCAAUUUUGUAGACGUUGACUCAAAUCAUAAUUGGGUGUACGGUGUACUCUCUUGUAAAGAAAUAAGAUGUAUACAAAACGAAUAAUCGGCUUCGUUCAGUAUAUUAAACUUACUCGCCUAGACAUACAAGUGACUGUGAAAAAGCUGGCGCAAUUCCUAAAUGCCCCUAUACCAAUUAAUUGGCAGGCUAUGAAAAAUGAUUUUGUGUUUCCUAUCGGCUAUUCAGAGGAUGGGAAUUCUGUUGAGAAGAACGAAUGACAUUGGCAUCACAACGUAUUGUGACGUGGAUUUGGGGGGAGACUCCUCUAUCCGGAAGAGUAGAACAAACUUUCUCAUCUACGAUGGUGGGACCCUGGUUUCAUGGAUCUCCAAGAAGCAGUCGACGAUAGCUCGGUUGAGUACUGAGGCCAAAUACCGAGCUAUCGUGACGACGAAUCAAGAGUUGGAGUCUAUUGAUAUGCAAUUUUGAAAUGGGUGUAGCAUAAUUAUUGACUCAAUUAUUUUGGGUUUACAGGUCGAAAUCAAUAAAUGAGUUAGACUUUUUAAAAAAAUUGAACAUGACCCAUUUGUGUUGGACAGUUACCAAACUGCCAAGAUGGUUAGAAACAAAUCUGUAAAUGAGUUAGUGGUUAGUACUUAAUUAGCUAACUAAUGUUUAUAAAUAACAAUUCAUACAUGUAUUCAAUAAAACAAUUUUCAACAUCAAACUCAAUUUCUGAUAUGGUAUCAGUUAGUUAGGUUGCGUUUCUGAAAAUCAGUUGACGAUGGUAACUCAACACCAAGUUUCCGCUGCAAUUGAAGAUAAUGAUAGCCCUGGAAAUCCGGUCAGAUCGAUCAGCACUCCGGCGAUCACUGGUGAGGCACUCACACAACCAACAAACACGAAGGUUGUCACACAGGCCAUCAGGUGUGUGCUCUUAGAAAAAUCAAACUACUUUUCAUGGGAGGCACAGUUUUUCGCGAUGCUUCGUGGAUUCCAGUUGAUGACAUACGUUUUGGGGGAAGAAGGAUUGUCCACAUCGGCGAAUAUCCAGCAAGAUAAACUAAUAUUAAGUUGGAUCUUAACCGGAGUCUCGACAUCAAUCUGCCCCAAAUUGCUUCGUACAAGACGGCGUCCGGAGCAUGGCUGGCUCUUCGAAGAUUGUAUGCUUCUAGCACAUAGACAAGGCAGAUCUACAUCCGAAGUCAGCUACAAUUGGUUAAGAAAGGUGGACUCUUAUAAGAAUAUGUGAAAUCUAGGGUAAAAUAGAAGUUUUACCAUAACACUAAGUUCAGGACUUAUUUGGAAUAAAGAUAACUCUAAGGUUAUAACAAAACAGACUAAACUGUUUGUUUAUAACUAACAAGGGGUUAUUCACAAAUAUUUCAAUAAAUCGUUAAUUGGACUUAAGUGUAAUUAAAAGAAAUGAAAGGUUAUUACAAAAGAAUUGAAAUAACCAGAAAGAUGGACCAAGUUGAGAAUAACCCAAUUAUUAAUAAAGUUGGACCUAUGUGUCAUUACUAAUAGUUUUAUAUGUGUGCAGCAAUUGUUACAAUUAACAACAAUUAAUCGGAUCCAGAUCUAGGCUCACAAGACCGACCCGAGACCCGAUUAAAUUGAAUCAGUUUCAUUUAAAGAAAAUUAGUUAUUAGUUAAUUGUAAUAGUUAGUUGUAAAUAGUGUAUAAAUGAUUGGGUUGUAAACUGGUUUUAAUUAAUUGAAUUACACAAGUUAAUCAAAGUAAAAAAAAGAUUAACAUUUUUCAUAUUUUCCCCCCAAAUCAUUUCUUCCCCCUUCUUCUCUCUCCAGCGACAGUUUAGUUUGUUUUUCCCCCUUUCUCGUGGGUGGAAAAACCUAGACUCAAUUUCUCCGGUGAUCGUCGCUAGAAGGCUCCAGAAGCUCCGACGUCGUCUCCGGGACUUCAUCUCCACCAGAAAUUAACAUGGUAUCUGUCAACGCUCCUCGAAAUCCAGUCGCUUCCGCACACCCAGACGACGCCAUUUCUGUCCCAAAUGCGCAACCCAACAAUCCAGUCCAGACGUCGGAAAAAUCACGUCAGUCUUCCUCAGGUUCUACCGGAAAGUCCAAGGCUAAUGACUUCGAUCAAGGUCUGUAUAAUUCAAUGUUUAAAAGGCAUAAGGCAGAGAGGUAUGUUUCUCCUCUUCAAGAUCCAGAAUCUCCAUUCUUUUUGACCUCCGGUGAUCACCCGGGGGCUUUUUUAGUGCUUGAUAGAUUGGUUGGAGAAACCAAUUAUAUCACUUGGACAAAUGGUAUGAAAGUAUCUCUAGUAUCAAGAAGAAAAGAUUUUUUUAUUAAUGGAGAAAUUAAGAUGCCAGAUGACAUUACUAGUAGGGAGUAUAACAUCUGGAAGAUUGUUAAUGGAUUAGUAUUAGCUUGGAUACUUAAUUCAGUAUCUCCCCAAAUCCAAUCCACCCUAAUGUAUACAAAUAAUGCUCACGAAAUUUGGAUGGAUUUAGAGAGUAGAUACAAACAAGGAAAUGCCCCUAAGGUAAAUCAGAUUAAAUAUGAGUUAUUUUGUUUGCAACAGGGUUCAAUGAAUUCAUCUGAAUUUUAUGAUAAAUUCAGAUCAAUUUGGGAUCAAUUGAUCCAAAUUGAUGAAAUAAGAGAUGAAUUUUGCAAAAUCUGUAAAAAGCUAUACCAACAAAAGGAAGAGAGUGAUAUGAUUCACCAGUUUCUGUUAGGUCUGAAUGAAAGUUUUUUUAAUCUUAGAACUCAGAUCCUAUCACUAGAAAAACUGCCCAACAUGAACAAAGUUCUUCGGCUAGUUAUACAAGAAGAAAAGCAGAGGUCAAAAUUCAGAGAAAAUAACAAUGAUAAAAUUGAGUCGGCAUUUUUUGCAAAAGAAAAGAAUACAAUAGAUAAACCAAAAAUCAUGUAUUCUAAAAGUGGAAAAAAGUUAGAUACUAGAUUUUAUUGUGAUAACUGCAAGUAUUAUGGACACACAAGAGAUAAGUGUUAUCAUCUAAUAGGCAGACCCAAAGAGAAAUUUCAAAAGAAAAAUCUGGGAAAGAAACCCCAGGGCAGCACCAAUACAGAAUCUGAUGUAGCUAAUCAAGUAGCUUCUACUAGCAGUCAUCAACAACUUAUGCUAACUCAAGAAGAAAUUCAGCUUUCUAAAGAGCUAAUCUCCUCAACCAAAACAACUAGCAAUGUUGGUAAUUUUUAUUCUUUUUCUUUUAAUAUAAAUUCAUAUAUUGAUAAAUGGAUUGUAGACACCGGGGCAUCACAACAUAUGACCGGUAGUCUUCAUUUAUUUACAAAUCCCCCAAUUCAAGAACACAACCAUUUUGUAACUAUACCUAGUGGAAAAACACUAAUAGUUCAAGGAAUUGGGUGUAUAAAAAUUUCAGAAAAUUUAAUACUUAAAAAUGUCCUAUAUAUUCCUGAAUUUAAGGUUAAUUUAAUAGUAUAAGCAAAUUAACCGUAGAUAAUGACAUUAAAGUAAUUUUUGAUGAUCAUUGUUUUAAAUUUCAGGAAAACAAAUCCGGGAAAGUGAUUGGCAAGGGGGAAUCAAGUGAUGGACUUUAUUUUUUCACCCCCCAUUUUUACCUAGCCAAUUCAGCUACCAAUUUCAGAACUUGGCAUCAAAGACUAUGCCACAUUUCUUCACAAAAGAUGAAGAUUCUAGCAAAUAAAUACAAAAUUAGCUAUUCUAAAAAUGAUUGUAAUAUUUCUUGCAAAAAUAAAUGUUGUAGUGAAAAAUUCUGUUUUGAGUGAAGUGUUGAAUAAAAAUGAUAUUUCAAAUGAAAAUAAUUUUUUGAAUAAAAAUUAAAAUUUUUUCCAACAAAGUACAAAUUUAAAUGAGUUCAAUGACAUUCAACAUAAUUGCAAGAUAUGCCCUAUAGCAAAACAGUCCAAACUAAAAUUUGCCAUUAGUUCCUCAAAAACAGAAAAAGUUUUUGAUUUAAUCCAUAUUGACAUAUGGGGGAAGUUUCCAAUAAAAAUCUAUGAUGGCUAUAGUUAUUUCUUAACUAUAGUAGAAGAUUUCAGUAGAGGAACAUGGAUAUAUCUCAUCAAAAAUAAAUCAUUGGCAAUACAAUGCAUUGAAUUUUUUUAUAAAAUGGUUAAAAGCCAAUAUAACACAAAAAUCAAAAUCAUUAGAAGUGACAAUGGAGGUGAGUUCACCUCCAAUGAUUUUAAAAGAAUGACUGAAAAACAUGGGAUAAUCCAAUAAUUUUCUUGCCCUUACACUCCUGCACAAAAUGCAAGAGUGGAAAGAAAACAUAAGCAACUCUUGAAUAUUGCAAGAGCCCUACAUUUUCAAGGAAACAUCCCAAUAAAAUUUUGGGGAGAAUGCAUAUUAACUGCAUGCCACCUUAUAAAUAGAGUUCCUUCUAAAUCCAUUGAAAACAAAACACCUUAUGAGUUGAUAAAUAAAAAAAUUCCUGAUUUUGAAAGAUUAAAAUCAUUUGGUUGCUUAUGCUAUGCAUCAACAACACAAAUAGAAAACAAAUUUUCACCUAAAGCAUAUCAAGGAAUUUUUAUGGGAUAUCCCAAUGGGAUUAAAGGAUAUCUCAUAUUGAGAAUUUCUGAUAUGAAAUUUUUUGUUUCAAGGAAUGUAUCUUUUAGGGAAUCUAUAUUCCCAUUUAAAGAUAAGAUAAGUCUAGAAAACAAUAAAGAAUUAGAAAAUCUUCAAAAAAGUUUACAAAAAUGCCUUUAUCAUGAUGACUCAAACAAGACUUGGUAUGAUUAUAAAAUGCAUAACCAAGGCAAAAACAUAACAAAAAUCUCUGAAUCUCAUAACAGAACAGAGAACAAAAGUAAAAAUAAAAAUCUGGAAAAUCCAGAUAAAAGAUCAAAAAAUGAUCUUUUAAAUCCAGACCACAAUGGAUUAAAUAGAAUAAAUUGUUCUACAAAUGAACACAUGAAAAACAUGACCAACAACAAUGAUCAAAACAGCAUUGUUGAGCAUGAAAAUGCUGCAAGUACUGGAAAAGUCCAGAACAUCAUCAAUUCUGAAAUUUCUGGAAUUAUUGAACCAAGAACAUGAAAUUUUGGAAAAUAUCUAAAAUUCAGAAAUAGUUCAAAAUAAUCAUGAAAGCAGUAUAGAUCAACCUAGUAUGUCUAUAAGCAAAGAAGAUCAAAAUUUAUUGCCAAUUUUCAGAAAAACCCCUGAACCCUGCAAAUUUUCAGAAAAACCUCUGGAAAUAGAAAAAAAAACCACAAGGGCAGGGAGAGUUAUACAUAUCCCAGAGGCUUACAAGGACUUCUUCCUUGAAAAAGAUAAAGAGUAUGGGAACAAUAACAAAGGUAAAUACCCAAUAUGCAACCAAGUUGCAUAUCAUAGAAUAAGUAAAACUCACAAAAAUUUGCUAAAUCAAAUUUCAGUGAAUGAUGAACCUAAAUCAUAUUCAGAAGCAUCAAAAAACCCAAAAUGGGUAGAAACAAUGAAUAAAGAAAUGGAAGCACUCCAUUUAAAUAACACUUGGACCUUAACUACACUUCCUAAUGAUAGGAAAGUUGUAGGGUCCAAAUGGAUCUAUAAAAUUAAAUAUAAACCUAAUGGUGAGAUAGAACGAUACAAGGCUAGGCUUGUAGCAAAAGGGUUUACCCAAAAAGAAGGUUUUGACUAUUAUGAAACCUUUGCUCCCGUAGUCAAAAUGACUACAGUUAGAGCAAUCAUUGCAAUAGCAGCAAUGAAAAGAUGGAACAUCUAUCAACUAAAUGUCAACAAUGCUUUUCUUCAUGGAGAUCUUCAUGAAGAGGUAUAUUUAAAACCACCACAAGGACUUCUUCAUGAAGAAGAUAAAAGGGUUUGUAAACUAAACAAAUCCUUAUAUGGCUUAAAACAAGCAUCAAGAAAUUGGUUUGUCAAGUUAAAAGGAGUCCUUCUAGAAAUAAAUUUCACACAAACACCUUCUGAUUACUCACUCUUUGUGAGAAACAAAAAUGAAAACUUAAUAUACUUAUUGGUGUAUGUUGAUGAUAUCAUCAUCACAGGAACAAAUGAAACAGAAAUUUUUGUUAUCAAGAAGAACAUUGAGAAAAACUUCAAAAUAAAGGAUUUAGGGAGAUUGUCCUAUUUUUUAGGAAUUGAAGUCUCCUAUCCCUCACAAGGCAUUCACUUGUCACAAAGAAAGUAUGCACUUGGUAUUUUAGAAGAAAGUGGGCUCAUGGAUGCAAAACCUUCAAAGGUGCCCAUGGAAAGGUUUGUAAAUCUAAGAAAUGAAAAGGCCAAGGCCUUAAGAAACCCAACACUAUACAGGUCACUAGUAGGAAAACUAAUAUACCUAAACAUUACUAGACCUGACCUAAGUUUCCCUGUCCACUGGUUAAGCCAGUACAUGGGAAAUCCAAAUGAAAUUCAUCUUCAGGUCUUAUUCAAAGUGAUAAGGUAUCUUAAAAAUGCACCUGGACAAGGGAUUCUAUACAAAUCUCAAAAUCAAAUGAAUCUCUAUGAGUACUGUGAUUCAGACUGGGCCUCAUGUCAGGUUAGCAGAAAAUCCUUAUCAAGAUACUGCAUGUUUCUAGGAACAUCACUAAUUUCUUGGAAAUCCAAGAAACAAGAUACUAUUUCCCUAUCAUCAUGCGAGGCUGAAUAUAGAGCCAUUAGUAAAGCUCAAUGUGAGAUACUCUGGCUCCAUCAGCUUUUCAAAGAUCUAAAGUUGAAAAUAGUAAUGCCAACCUCACUAUACUGUGAUAACAAGUCUGCGAUAUACCUUGCAAAUAACCCAGUAUUCCAUGAGAGAAGCAAACACAUUGAAAUCACAUGUCAUUCAAUCAGAGAAAUGAUAGAAAAGGGGAUAAUUCUCCUAAAACAAGUUGGGACCAAGUACCAACUUGCAGAUAUAUUCACCAAAUCCUUAGGUGAACAUGAGAUUUCAAAAUUCUCAGUCAAGCUAGGAAUUCACAAUGUGUAUUCCAAGGCUUGAGGGGGGAGUAUAAGAAUAUGUGAAAUCUAGGGUAAAAUAGAAGUUUUACCAUAACACUAAGUUCAGGACUUAAUUGGAAUAAAGAUAACUCUAAGGUUAUAACAAAACAGACUAAACUGUUUGUUUAUAACUAACAAGAGGUUAUUCACAAAUAUUUCAAUAAAUCGUUAAUUGGACUUAAGUGUAAUUAAAAGAAAUGAAAGGUUAUUACAAAAGAAUUGAAAUAACCAGAAAGAUGGACCAAGUUGAGAAUAACCCAAUUAUAUAUAAAGUUGGACCUAUGUGUCAUUACUAAUAGUUUUAUAUGUGUGCAACAAUUGUUACAAUUAACAACAAUUAAUCGGAUCCGGAUCCAGGCUCACAAGACCGACCAGAGACCCGAUUAAAUUGAAUCAGUUUCAUUUAAAGAAAAUUAGUUAUUAGUUAAUUGUAAUAGUUAGUUGUAAAUAGUGUAUAAAUGAUUGGGUUGUAAACUGGUUUUAAUUAAUUGAAUUACAUAAGUUAAUCAAAGUAAAAAAAAGAUUAUCAUUUUUCAUAUUUUCCCCCCAAAUCAUUUCUUUCCCCUUCUUCUCUCUCCAGCGACGGUUUAGUCUAUUUUUCCCCCUUUCUCGUGGGCGGAAAAACCUAGACUCAAUUUCUCCGGCGAUCGUCGCUAGAAGGCUCCAGAUGCUCCGACGUCGUCUCCGGGACUUCAUCUCCACCAGAAAUUAACAGACUCUCUAUGGACGAUUAUAUUUCUAAGGUCGUCGUUCUCUAGUAUGUUGGCAGCUACCGACGAGAGUAUCAAAGAAUCCGAGAUGAUUCUUGUCACACUUGCUGGAUUAGGCGAUGAAUAUGAAGCUUUCUCCACGACGAUAAUAGUACAGUAUGAUCCUGACUUGACGUUCUCCCAUCUGUGCGAGCUAUUGAUGGAUCAAGAUAUCCAUCUUGAAAAAUUGAGGACGACGGGUCUACGAGUUGCAAAUUUCAN